rnacentral:tRNA from 1 species
GUGGCAUUAGCUCAGAUGGAUAGAGCAACGGCCUUCUAAGCCGUGGGUCGCGGGUUCGAGUCCUGCAUGCCGCGCCA